CCAUCUGCCUUCUAAGUUCUGCCGUCCUCGACCAAGCUGCGAGGCAACGUGUUCGAGCCUUGAGCCCAGAAGCAGGAGGCGGGCGGCCUCUGGCAGAGGUUUUCAUUCUUCUUUCCACACGUUGCAGCGUCGGCAUCUCAUGCUCAAGGUCGGCGGAGCUGAACCGCCAUUGUGCGAGAAACCGAGCCACAUGUGCGGGGGAUGAUCCGUCAGGACUCAGGAUCGAGAUGCCGAAGACAGUGGAUGGCGCCGCUCCAGAUCGACCAGGAGGAGGUUGGAGUGAGGCAGGACAACGAGUCUCAGAUCCGCCAAAAAGAUUCCCGUGUGUACUAGUUGGAGCCAACACGUCAUCUCCACCGCUGGCUACCUUUAGUUGGAGCAGAUUCAAACAUACCCCGGAGGUUGCGUAUCCCGGCAGGAGCCCAGGCGUCCUUCAACAACCGGCUGUCACGUACUAUCGGACCAGUUCGCCAUGGCCGGGCUCUCCUUCGCCACAUGCAGAAUGGCACCGGCAUGGGAUACGACGAAUCCUAGUCUACGUGGGAGAAGAGGAGAGGAGGGUCUAUUUUUUCUGUCGUGCCUCUGCGUUUUGAUCAUCUGCAAUAUGCUGUAUUUACUUAUAGCUGUCAUAUGUUCUUUGUACUUCUCUGAUGUGUAUGAAAUCUUUGGCGAUAUGAGCUGAAAUAAA